rnacentral:rRNA from 1 species
UUGGAGGGCAAGUCUGGUGCCAGCAGCCGCGGUAAUUCCAGCUCCAAUAGCGUAUAUUAAAGUUGUUGCAGUUAAAAAGCUCGUAGUUGAAUUUCGGGACCAUCAUGUCGGUCGUGCCUCGGUACGUACUGGCAUUGUUGGUUUCUCCCUUCUGACGAACCAUGAUGUCAUUUAUUUGGUGUUGUGGGGAAUCAGGACUGUUACUUUGAAAAAAUUAGAGUGUUUAAAGCAGGCUCACGCUUGAAUACAUUAGCAUGGAAUAAUGAAAUAGGACGUUUGAUUCUAUUUUGUUGGUUUUUAGGAUCGACGUAAUGAUUAAUAGGGAUAGUUGGGGGCAUUAGUAUUCAAUUGUCAGAGGUGAAAUUCUUGGAUUUAUUGAAGACUAACUACUGCGAAAGCAUUUGCCAAGGAUGUUUUCAUUAAUCAAGAACGAAAGUUAGGGGAUCGAAGACGAUCAGAUACCGUCGUAGUCUUAACCAUAAACUAUGCCGACUAGGGAUCGGAUGAUGUUAAUUUUUUAAUGACUCAUUCGGCGCCUUACGGGAAAC